rnacentral:rRNA from 1 species
UUCUAGCAAAGAGUCAGAGGGCUUAGUAUUGGAGGUGAUGCCUGCCCAAUGAUUGUAUUUAAAACCAAGUAAUAAUGAUUAUUGAUAUUGGUUAUCUUGGCUAAGAACAAUUAAAUGGCCGCGGUAAAAUUGACCGUAGAUAAUGUAGCGCAAUCAAUCGCUAAUUAAUUGUUGGCAAGUAUGAAUGGCUUAACGAAUGCUCCACUGUCUCAAAAUAAAACCCAGUGAAAUUGAAUUUGUAGUGAAGAUGCUACAUCCAAAUUGUUAGACGAGAAGACCCUAUUGAGCUUAACUGGAGGUUUAUAUAGUUAUUUUUUUUUUAACAACGGAGUAGAGUAUGUGGGAGGCWAUGUUUAGCUGGGUAAUGAAAAACCACUCUUUAAUUUUAAAAAGAACUAAAAUCGGAUUAUUAGAUUGAAAAGUGUAAGUUGGACAGUUUGGUUGGGGCGACCACCUUCUAAAGAGUAAGCAAGGUGUGCAUAUGGUGAAUAAUGGAUAAAAUAAAGGAAAGCUUGACAGUAAGGAGGACAUCCGAACUGACACGGGAAGGAACCUGUGGGUUAUAUUGACCCGUUAGUUUAGGGUGGGAUAGUUAACGAGCAACUGAAUAAAAGUUACCAUAGGGAUAACAAGCGUAAUAUUGUUUGAGAGUUUAUAUCGACGACGAUGUUUCGACCUCGAUGUUGAAUUACGAUUUCCUGGAGGGGCAGCGGCUUUCAAGGGUUGACUGUUCGUCCAUUAAAACU